rnacentral:lncRNA from 1 species
CUGGACUCCUGCUGCAGACAGGGAGCAGAGCACCGCACCUUGAAAUACGGAGAAAAACCUGAAAACGCUAAGAGGUGGAGUGACAACUUGCAUUCAGCUGUUUCAGAAACAUUGUUGACCACCUACUCAAUGUGAAGAUGACGAAGAUGAAAGCCUUUAUGAUGAUCUACUUCCACUUAAUAAAUGGAAACCAGCUGCCAUGCAUGAGGAUACUCCAGCAGCUUAUGGAGAAGUCCAUGUGGUGAGGAACUGGGGUCGGUCCACAACCACCUGAGUGAACCUGAAAGUGGAUCUUCCCCUCACUCAAGCAUUGAGUUGACUGCUGGCCCAACCAACAGUUUGUCUGCAACUUCAUGAGAGACCCUGACUCAGAAGCACUCAAUUAACUCAUGAAAACGACUCCAAUAUGAAUGGUGAAUGUAAUUUAAUGUGUCAUGGAAAUGCAGAGCUGUAGAACUGAUUAUUUUUCCCAGUAUAAAUGGAAGAGCUCUAAUCUACAAGUGGAGGUGAAGCAUCCCCAGUGGCCAGGAGGACAACCUUGCCCAGUGACCUUUCCUAGAAGAAGGUAUCGAAGUGCUAAGAUGAGGAUUUCCACAAAUUUCUGCUCAGGCAACACCACCCAUCAUCAACUGAGUUAAUGCCCAUCCCUAAAUGUGUGUAACAUGGGCGAAGUGAAUUUUUUCUUUCUCUGUCAUGCUCACUUCCCACUUACCUGCUAGAGUAAGAGUAUACUAGCAUAUUAUUUAGACAUCUAGUUUUUAAUAAUAUUCAUUUUCAUACAACAUGACCACAAAGAAGAAACUGUUAUAUCUUAUAAUGGAAGAAAAUCUGACUGUGGAGAAGUUACUGAGAAAUGGUACAUCUGCAUUAUGCUUUAUGGGUGAUUUAAAGGAUUUUCAAAUAUUAUUUUGACUACAGGUAAAAUAACUGUAUAAUUUAUCAUACAAAUUUGAAAGCAUUUGAGUCAGACAGGAUAUUAAUGAUAAUUAGGCUGAAAUGACAGGCAUAAAUGAAGAGCCUUCUGGUAAAUUAAAAUGUAG